GGGCGCAUAGCUCAGUGGGAGAGCACUCGCUUCACACGCGAGGGGUCGGUGGUUCGAACCCACCUGUGCCCACCA
rnacentral:tRNA from 1 species